CAAGUACCAGACUUCAUGCCCAUGCUGGGCGUUACUGUACACAAAAAUGGAGAAAUGACCCGCGAAUUGAAGAAGCAAGAAGGGGUGAAAUUCAAAGCUUGAAGAAAGUGCCCUAGUUCAUGGAUCAACAGAAGCAUCUCUUCCUCGAUCACCUGAUAGGCAUUAUGUCGUCCAAGCGCCGUGUCCUCUAUGGCUUCGUUCUUGGCAUCGCGGCCUCCAUCCUUGUCGUCUACCUCCUCGCUUCCAUCAAUACCUCCGGUGCCUUUCCUCGCUUUCUCUUUCCCCGCUUUAAUGGCUCAGCCUCUGCUUCAUGUUUGGGAAAUUCCAACUUCUACUGUUCUCGCACCGGCAAAAAUGCAAUUGCUUCGGAAAGCGCAAACCGUACUUCCGUAACUGAAACCCUUGGAGGCAACUUUUCUCAGCCUCAGUCUUAUCUGGGUUCGGUGAAAACCAAACAAGAGAGCUAUGUGAACUCCCUGAGUUCAAGCGUCAACGAGAUGAAGAAACCCCUCUUUGAGAAUAUUUCGAUGAAUGCCACAGAUGUAUUGGAGGUGGGGCGAGGUAAUGUGACGAAGCAGUUAAUUGGUGAUUUUAGAGUAAAUAUUGGGAGUUCGCAGAACUUCUCUGUAAGUAAAAGCGGCAACUCUGAUGCUUCGGUGAAGGGAGUAGUUGGAGAUUCCCAGAAGAAGUGUGAUAUAUUUGAUGGAAAAUGGGUGAGGGAUUCGACCAAGCCUUAUUACGCACCGGGUUCUUGCCCUUACAUCGACAUUGAUUUUGAUUGCUAUAAGAAUGGGAGGCCUGAUGAUGAAUUUUUGAGAUGGAGAUGGAAGCCACAUGGCUGCGACAUUCCAAGCUUGAAUGCAACUGAUUUUCUGGAAAGAUUGAGAGACAGAAGGAUACUCUUUGUUGGGGACUCGCUCAAUCGAAACAUGUGGGAAUCUCUUAUCUGUAUACUACGCGAUAGUGUCAAGGAAAAAAGUAGAGUUUAUGAAGUAUCAGGACGAAGCAAAUUCAAAAUAAAAGGUUAUUAUUCUUUUCGGUUUGAGGACUACAUGUGCUCUGUAGAUUUUGUGAGGUCACCAUUUCUGGUCAAAGAACUGCUUGUUAAAAAUGCAAAUGGUUCAGAAAAUGAACGGCUAAGAUUGGAUUUGCUCGAUGAGACAACGACUGCUUAUCAUCAAGCUGAUAUCGUAGUUUUCAAUACAGGCCAUUGGUGGACUCAUGAGAAAACAUCCAACGGGAUAAACUACUAUCAAGAAGGCAGUCACGUGUACCCUGUUCUUGAGGUCAUGAAGGCAUACAGAAAGGCUCUUACCACCUGGUCUGAGUGGGUUGAUAUGUAUCUUGAUUCCAGCAGAACUCAAGUUGUUUUCAGAGGAUAUUCUCUCACCCACUUCAGAGGUGGGCAGUGGAACUCUGGUGGUCGGUGCCACAAGGAAAUUGAGCCAAUUUACAAUGAAACUUUCUUAAAAAAAUACCCCAAAAAAAUGAUUUCUUUAGAGGGGGUACUCCAAAAAAUGAGAACACCAGUGCUCUACCUUAACGUUAGUAGACUCACAGACUAUAGAAAGGAUGGCCACCCCUCUAUCUAUAGAAAGAAGUACAACUCAGAAGAAGAGCUUAUUGCAGCUGAGAAAAUCCAGGAUUGCAGCCAUUGGUGCUUGCCUGGGGUUCCUGACACCUGGAAUGAGCUUCUUUAUGCUUCCUUAUUGAUGGAAGGCAAAGGAUCAUGGAGGCAAUGACACUUUGCAGCAGUGAUUGCAGUUCACAAAUAGAGCUACACCACCCCCACCUCUACUGACAUGAUUGUGCGUGGUCUUCGCUUUAGUGCACUCUUAUGUGGAUUUCAUGCUCGAAAGAACCUCAUUCUAUUGGGAUUGUUUCCUUUUGUAAAUGGAGUUCCUUUUUCAUCACUUUCUACUGCAUCAAAACAAAGCCACUAUAGGUUUCGUGCUUAUCUAGAACUUUUCAUUUUCUAUGGGCCCGCUUGGGAUCAUUUUUUUAUUGUUGAUUUUGUUUUUUAUAUCACAUUGGGUGUUUUGAUGUUUGAUUGAUAGUAUCGUUUGUAAUUAUUUAUGGGUAGAUUUGCAUGCAUGCCACUCAAUUCCUAUGU